UAAGACGUAAGACAAAGAUGGCGGCAAGUUUAAAAGACAAUAUCAAAACAAUUGUGUAGUAAUUGUCAUUAGACGUUGCUUUGCUUUAUACUUGAAGUGUUGUCGCUACGUUGACGAACAUUACUGGUUGGAACAAGAUAAAAUAAUAAAGGUAUUGAUAUUGUAUAUUUGAAGUACAAAUCAGUUUUCGAGUGAGUUUUUGGCCUUGUGGCUAUUUCCAUUCCAUUUAUUGGAGUAUAUCAUGGCAUCUAUUCAUACAGAACCAUUAGUAAACUCAACUAACCAUAGUCCAGCAAGUCCAGUAAUGAAAAGUGCAGCAAAUUCAGUUGUGAAUCAGAAUAAUGUGAGAGAUGUUAUUAGUGAUGAUAUGGGUAGGAAAGCCAAACUGAAAAUCCCACCUCAAGAUAAAAGAAAGAAAACAACAGUA